CCUACGGGUGGCAGCAGUGGGGAAUAUUGGGCAAUGGGCGCAAGCCUGACCCAGCAACGCCGCGUGAAGGAAGAAGGCUUUCGGGUUGUAAACUUCUUUUCUCAGGGACGAAGCAAGUGACGGUACCUGAGGAAUAAGCCACGGCUAACUACGUGCCAGCAGCCGCGGUAAUACGUAGGUGGCAAGCGUUAUCCGGAUUUACUGGGUGUAAAGGGCGUGUAGGUGGGAAAGCAAGUCAGAUGUGAAGACCAUGGGCUCAACCUGUGCCCUGCAUUUGAAACUGUUUUGCUUGAGUGCUGGAGAGGCAGAAGGAAUUCCUAGUGUAGCGGUGAAAUGCGUAGAUAUUAGGAGGAACACCAGUGGCGAAGGCGGUCUGCUGGACAGCAACUGACGCUGAGGCGCGAAAGCGUGGGGAGCAAACAGGAUUAGAUACCCUAGUAGUC
rnacentral:rRNA from 1 species